rnacentral:pre_miRNA from 1 species
UUUAUGCGACUAACUUCGUUCAGGUGAUGUGCAUUAGCAACUCUUCAUCACUGGGCAAAGUUUGUCGCAUAAA